UGUUGUUGUUGUUGUUUUUUUUUUUUUAAGACAGGGUUUCUCUGUGUAGUCCUGGCUCUCCUUCUCACUUUGUAGACCAGGCUAGCCUCGAACUCCAGAGUUCCAUCUGUGUCUGCCUCAAGAGUGCCGGGAUUAAAGGCGUGUGCCACUGCCUCCAACACCUGGUCUAAAACUCUUUUAAGUAGGUGCCCCACACUGGGUUGACUGACAGCCCAAGGGAUCAGUCACUCACCCAUGGAAUCUCCCUUCCACUUGUCUGAGUGCUGAUUGUGUAACAUCCACAGACCCCUACUCUGUGGAGCUUCCUUGUGCUGUGUCGUGGAAUUAGUACCAAGCCUCACUUCCUGGGAUCUUCAUUAGAGCCAUCUGCUAAGGAAGCAUCUAGGCUUGGUGGAGUCUGUCCCUUCUGCCCCCUUGUUGUCCUUUGUCUACCAUGGACACCCAUCCCUCCUUUUUUUCUUAUAAUGAAAGGGGCCACUGGGCCUCCUAGGACAGAGACUCGUGUGUGUGAACCCGCACAUAUUCCCAAGGAUGACUGACCAUGUGGGUCAUAAUGACCUGUGCACCUACCAUCCUUGUCCUGGAGCCCAUAAGGGCCCAAAGCAGCCCUGGCUUUAGUGUUUGUGGUCUCAGGGUUCUGCAGAAAGGGCAAGGGAGAAACACAAGUAACUUCCAUAAGAGCAGCUACUUCAGGUGCAGGUGUGUGCUGGUGAUGCAGAUGUGUCUGCAGCUGCUUCAGUUGCAGGUGUGUGCUGUGUAUUUUCUUUGUAUAAUUUAUCACUCAGCUAUACUUCCUUCUCCCUGGGGACCAAUGUGUUGCUUUGAAUAGUAGAUAUUUCAUAGCUCUCAGCUAAAUAAGUAUUUCCUGGCCUCAUCUGAAGGCACCCUCUUCCCUGCUUUGGUGCCUUUGUGACCACUGACUCAUGUGGCCAUCAGGACCCUCUUCCCAGAACCCAGUGAUAUGAAAACUUUAUGUAGACUCCAAGCAGCUUGUAGGGUUGGGCUGCAGAGGAAGCCGGGUUCCCCAGGGCACUUUACCAGGCUGUUAGGGCCUUCUCGGGCCAGCCUGGCUAAAGUCCAAAUGACUCACACUGUUAUUUAGUGAGAAAAACAAAAACAGUGAUGGCUUCUGACCAGGUUGGGAAAGGGAACAGUGGUAGUAGAGAAGGGGUCCGAUAGCCAGGAUCUGGGCACCUAUAUUGGCUGUAGACUGAGAUGUGCUAGAAGUGCAGACAGCCUCCAACACACCUCCUUCAAAGAACACUGGCACCCUGGCUAUAGGCUGUAGGGACAGGCCUGCUUUGGGUGUUCGCUGUGCCCUGACCUGAGACAAAGCUUCAGGCUCUUCCUAUUCUGUAGGUGGGAUUGUAACAGGAGAAGUACCCUUUGUGUGAUCCUCACAUGUAGAAAACACCAUCUAGUAUCUGCUGUCACAAGCACUGUCCCUGGAAGAACCCUUGUUAACAGUAACUGUGGCAAGACUGAUGAAGAUAUAAACCCUCAGAGCACAGCCUCUCCAGGCUGUGACGGGUCAUGGUGACAUGACAAACACACUGCGAAUCACUGGUUACACCUUGGUAUUAUUGUCAGCACAGAUAUAUGUAGUUGCUUUGGCUUUGACAGAAAUGACUGAGCCCUAUUGUACGAUGUUGACUCCAAGGUCCUCGUUUUUUCCGUCUGAGGUAGGUUUGUCAGACAGGCCCUUACUGGUCUCGUGCCCAGUGACUGUGUGACCCAUAUUGGCCAGCCUGGGUGCCAAGUGCCUG
rnacentral:lncRNA from 1 species